UGGGGCUCACCAGUUCCAAGACUGGCCAAUGUCCUGACAGCCAGUCCAAGUUACUUCAAGUGACUCCAAGGAGAACGGCAGAGCCUGCCCCAACUGAACACCGCUGGCCCCCUGUCCAGGCCUCCCCCCAUAGCCAGCCAGGAUGUAGAAGAGCCUAUUGGCCCACCCAGGGGAGCACCAGCCCCAGGACCCCUCCUCAGGAAACCCCACAGAUCAUGGGGGAGACCAGCAGGCUCAGGUCGUCACUGGCACUUUCCCUGCGGGGGCUGCUGCCUUUAUAGGUUUGCUGCACCUCUGACCCGGGGGCCACUUCUCCAGGUGAAUCCUGGGGCCCACUGCCCCACUACAGCAGAGGACUCAGCCUGGCCCUGGUCCUCCCUUGCCAGGACAGGAUCCCCAGGGACAGUCUAGCCAGGGUGAAGUCCGUGGGGACCCCUUUUUCCCACACACACCCUCCUCUGAGGGCAGAAGCGGAGCCUGGUCUUCUCUGAGCUCGCCUAUUGGGCUGAGAUUGGCUGACGCUGUGCUCACUGCUCUGGGAGGCGAGGGUCCCAGGAGGCACCUGAGGGCAGUAGAUCAGAGCACUUCCUGCCAUUGGCCCAUCUCAAGCCACCGGGACAGUGAGGUGGGCUGUCGCCCCAGGAGGCACCCUGGGCUUUGGCUCUCUGCCCAUGGUAAAUCCAGACCAGGACUCCCACCCACUGGGGGAAUCUUGGGGGGUUCUCACCACCCCUUCCACACCAGUCUCCUGGCUUCAGUCUCGUGCCCCACACAAACGCCCCUGGCCAUUGCAGAGUGCUCUAGGUACCUAGGCCAGAAAUGAUGUCUCACCUAAAAACAGCCUAUGCUUGAGUCGGGAUUUGCCUCUCUUACAGAAGAGUUUGCCGCACCCAGACCGUCCGCUCCCCAAGGGCAGACACCUCGUCCACGCUGGCCACGGACAGCCGCGGACGUGAGCGGCGCUGAGCACACCUCGUGGAGAGCCUGUUCUCCACAGAUCCUUGUCACUGAGCGAGAGAGGGAUCGCGGAUUUUGGUGACGUGAUCACAGUGUUGGGUGGCAGUGAUGGGAGUGGCCCUCUGGACCAGUGACGACUAGAAAUGCCUCCUUUGUCCCUCCUCAGAGAUGACAGGUACCAACUCCUAAACUCACCUGGCGAGGGGUCGUGGGGGCCCUCUUCAAAUGCCUCAUGAGCCCCUCACCUCCAAAGGUCUCCGACAGGCCAUUCCCAGAGUCACACCUUGGAGCCAGCUGUCACCAAAACCCAGACCCACCCUCAAGGGACUGUUUCUACCCUUGUCUCUCGGUGGCCCCCUUCCCAGCUUGCCACACAGCAGUGACAUCUCAUUGAGCCCCUCAUUCCGAGAACAGUCUUCCCCUCUCUUCGGCUUCCUUCUUAUCAGGCGCUGCUCAUUGCUGGGGGAGGCCACUUGGAAGACGGCUGACACCGCAAAGUCAGGCUUGGGUGGACCCUCAGGGCUGCUGGUCCCACCAUGUCCCUCCAGGGACCACUACGUACUGCCUGGUCCCCCUUCUCGGAAACCGCAGAUGCCGCCGCUGGCCCUCCACAGCUCCACUGCCUUCCCCCCAACAUCAUCUACCCACCCCACAGCCAGCCCGGGUCCACCUUCCCCAGCCCUUCCUCUACAGAGCAGUGACCUCUCUGAAAUGGUCUGAGGUCAUUGCCGGGACUUUCUUGCUGAGAAUCUUUCAGUGACUUCUGAGAAGUGGUUUCCUUUCAAAUUCCUCGCCUUAGUCUAUAAAACCAGCCCUGCUCUACCCUAACCCUAGCCUCACUCCUGUUCCGGCCCUACCGCCCCCGCCCCCGUCUAAGCCACGGUGGCCUUGUCUUGCUCCUGUGAUGCCAGAUCCUGUCCUCCCCCAGGACCUCUCCCCGAGUCGGGUCCGCACUGAACAAUCUACUUCAGCAGCUCAUUCCUACCCAUCUUUCUGGUCUCUACUCCUGACCCGGCUUCUGCUCUCCCCUCCAGGUUGACAGACUGGGUGUUUGCUCCUUGGAAAGCCCUCUUUGGGUUAACCCUUGAUUUGUGCCCGGGAAGCGCCCUGGGAGCAAGGACGCCACAAGGGCCACGCUCAGCCCCGUUCCCACCACCGGCAAGCGGGCCCUCAAGGAAGACCUGUGGAAUGAGUGGUUCUUGCGGGGAGGGGUGACGCCGAGAACUGCAGGGGUGGGGGUGGGGGUACAGGUCAUCACCAGGUGCACAGACAGACAGACGGGAAGAACUACCUUCAUCGGGCCCUCUGGUGUCCACGGCAGGAGACCAGUUCAGGCCCUGUAGGACAUCGUCAGCCGGGGUAAGACGAGCCCACCCUGGUACAUGAGGCCUAACCUGAGGGACCCAGAAGAUUCCGCCCCAUGUAGGUGUGAAGGGAGCACUUGGGGCUUUCCAGGGGUCUGUGUCUGCUGACAGGAGCCUUUGCGUGGGGGGUGGGGGGAGCCAUGCACCAGGGCAUUUCCUGCCUAGCCUGGCUCCCCAGGGCCCAGCCCUGCAGCCCUGCUCCUUCCUCCCCCGCCCCAGGGGCUUUCCACAAAGCCUGAAGCCUGCUAUUUUUAGCUGAGGGAGAAGGACCAAUUCCUGGCCUCACUGGCUCCCACCACCAGAGCCUGAGUGAAACUGGGGCUGGGGUGGGGACCCCUGAGGCCAGAGAGGCAGCUUCUCCCUCCCUUGCCCCCAUCAAGUCUUUGAGCCUGAUUUGCACCUGAGCAACCAAGGUGCCCAGCUCGGGGAGACAGCUGAGGCCCUGGGCUCCCAGGCUGGGCUCUCUGCCCGGGCUCUCUGCCCAGUGGGCAGGGGCUUGAGCCCUUGGGCGGGGUUGGCCUAGGGCCUGGGUGGGCUACUGCCCACUUCCUGGGGCCGUGCCUCAUCACUUCAAAGGCUGCUGGCGGCCCUGUGGUCACUCCCUGGCUCCCACGCAGCCAGAGGGGCGGGCAGCUCACGAACCCUGGCAGCUGGGUCCUGUCCCCCCCCCCGCCCCCCCGCAGCUUCAAAGAGCUGGGGUGGGCAGCCCUGCGGUUAGUGCUGAUCCCCAGGGGAGGGUGGGGGACAGGAAAGGGGGACAGCGGGGCUCUCUCUUCAUCCUCCGACCCCACUGCCUUCCUGGGUGGGCUCUGUCCUGGAGCAAGGGCCGCCUGGGGGUGUGGGGUCCAGGUGGGGUCACUCUGGAGUGCAGCCCCCAUUAGAGAAACCACAGGAACCAAGGUGGGGGGCACCUGGCUGGGUGAGGAGGGGUC